rnacentral:rRNA from 1 species
UACGGAGGGGGUUAGCGUUGUUCGGAAUUACUGGGCGUAAAGCGUACGUAGGCGGAUUAGUAAGUUAGGGGUGAAAUCCCGGGGCUCAACCCCGGAACUGCCUCUGAUACUGCUAGUCUUGAGUUCGAGAGAGGUGAGUGGAAUUCCGAGUGUAGAGGUGAAAUUCGUAGAUAUUCGGAGGAACACCAGUGGCGAAGGCGGCUCACUGGCUCGAUACUGACGCUGAGGUACGAAAGUGUGGGGAGCAAACAGGAUUAGAUACCCCGGUA